rnacentral:rRNA from 1 species
UGGGGAAUUUUGGACAAUGGGCGCAAGCCUGAUCAGCCAUGCCGCGUGCAGGAUGAAGGCCUUCGGGUUGUAAACUGCUUUUGUACGGAACGAAAAGGUGCCUUCUAAUAAAGGGCGCUCAUGACGGUACCGUAAGAAUAAGCACCGGCUAACUACGUGCCAGCAGCCGCGGUAAUACGUAGGGUGCGAGCGUUAAUCGGAAUUACUGGGCGUAAAGCGUGCGCAGGCGGUUUUGUAAGACAGAGGUGAAAUCCCCGGGCUCAACCUGGGAACUGCCUUAGUGACUGCAAGGCUGGAGUGCGGAAGAGGGGGAUGGAAUUCCGCGUGUAGCAGUGAAAUGCGUAUAUAUGCGGAGGAACCCCGAUGGCGAAGGCAAUCCCCUGGGCCUGCACUGACGCUCAUGCACGAAAGCGUGGGGAGCAAACA